rnacentral:rRNA from 1 species
CAGCAGCAGCCGCGGUAAUACGUAGGGUGCAAGCGUUAAUCGGAAUUACUGGGCGUAAAGCGUGCGCAGGCGGUUAUAUAAGACAGAUGUGAAAUCCCCGGGCUCAACCUGGGAACUGCAUUUGUGACUGUAUAGCUAGAGUACGGCAGAGGGGGAUGGAAUUCCGCGUGUAGCAGUGAAAUGCGUAGAUAUGCGGAGGAACACCGAUGGCGAAGGCAAUCCCCUGGGCCUGUACUGACGCUCAUGCACGAAAGCGUGGGGAGCAAACAGGAUUAGAUACCCCUGUAGUCCCUGUCUCUUAUAC